CGGCGGACGGGUGAGUAACGCGUGGGUAACCUGCCUCAUACAGGGGGAUAACAGUUAGAAAUGGCUGCUAAUACCGCAUAAGACCACAGUACUGCGUGGUACAGUGGUAAAAACUCCGGUGGUAUGAGAUGGACCCGCGUCUGAUUAGGUAGUUGGUGAGGUAACGGCCCACCAAGCCGACGAUCAGUAGCCGACCUGAGAGGGUGACCGGCCACAUUGGGACUGAGACACGGCCCAG
rnacentral:rRNA from 1 species